ACAGAGGUCCCAAGCGUUGUUCGGAAUUACUGGGCGUAAAGGGCUCGUAGGCGGCCAACUAAGUCGGACGUGAAAUCCCUCGGCUUAACCGGGGAACUGCAUCCGAUACUGGAUGGCUUGAAUCCGGGAGAGGGAUGCAGAAUUCCAGGUGUAGCGGUGAAAUGCGUAGAUAUCUGGAGGAAUACCGGUGGCGAAGGCGGCAUCCUGGACCGGCAUUGACGCUGAUGAGCGAAAGCUAGGGGAGCAAACGGGA
rnacentral:rRNA from 1 species